UGAAUUUUGGAGCAAGAGGCAACCCUAGCUGAUCUUUCUAGCCCGCUCAUUUGUGAAGGAGAAUACUGAGCACCAGGGAGCUCUGAAAGGGAACGCGUAUCGAAAUUAGGUGCUUUUUUGGAUUACAAUUUCUCAUACCUUAUGGAAGUGAUACCAUCAAGCAGACAGAUGCCAGUUGGAAAUGGAUAUUUGAUGGUGGGCCAGAGGGAAGUUCGGAGAACAGGCGAGAAGAAUAAAAGAGAGGUAGGUCAAGGUU